AGAGUUUGAUCCUGGCUCAGGACGAACGCUGGCGGCGUGCUUAACACAUGCAAGUCGAACGGAAAGGCCCUUCGGGGUACUCGAGUGGCGAACGGGUGAGUAACACGUGGGUGAUCUGCCCUGCACUUUGGGAUAAGCCUGGGAAACUGGGUCUAAUACCGAAUAGGACCACGCGCUUCAUGGUGUGUGGUGGAAAGCUUUUGCGGUGUGGGAUGGGCCCGCGGCCUGUCAGCUUGUUGGUGGGGUAAUGGCCUACCAAGGCGACGACGGGUAGCCGGCCUGAGAGGGUGACCGGCCACACUGGGACUGAGAUACGGCCCAGACUCCUACGGGAGGCAGCAGUGGGGAAUAUUGCACAAUGGGCGCAAGCCUGAUGCAGCGACGCCGCGUGAGGGAUGACGGCCUUCGGGUUGUAAACCUCUUUCAAUAGGGACGAAGCGCAAGUGACGGUACCUAUAGAAGAAGCACCGGCCAACUACGUGCCAGCAGCCGCGGUAAUACGUAGGGUGCGAGCGUUGUCCGGAAUUACUGGGCGUAAAGAGCUCGUAGGUGGUUUGUCGCGUUGUUCGUGAAAACUCACAGCUUAACUGUGGGCGUGCGGGCGAUACGGGCAGACUAGAGUACUGCAGGGGAGACUGGAAUUCCUGGUGUAGCGGUGGAAUGCGCAGAUAUCAGGAGGAACACCGGUGGCGAAGGCGGGUCUCUGGGCAGUAACUGACGCUGAGGAGCGAAAGCGUGGGGAGCGAACAGGAUUAGAUACCCUGGUAGUCCAA
rnacentral:rRNA from 1 species